rnacentral:tRNA from 1 species
GCUCGCGUAGCUCAGUUGGCAGAGCAUUGGGCUAGCAUUCCAAAGGUCGUAGGUUCGAUUCCCACCGUGGUCA